GACGAACGCUGGCGGCGUGCCUAAUACAUGCAAGUCGAACGAGAGCGACCGGUGCUUGCACUGGUCAAUCUAGUGGCGAACGGGUGAGUAACACGCGGGUAACCUGCCCAUCAGAGGGGGAUAACAUUCGGAAACGGAUGCUAAAACCGCAUAGGUCUUCGAACCGCAUGGUUUGAAGAGGAAAAGAGGCGCAAGCUUCUGCUGAUGGAUGGACCCGCGGUGCAUUAGCUAGUUGGUGAGGUAACGGCUCACCAAGGCCGUGAUGCAUAGCCGACCUGAGAGGGUGAUCGGCCACAUUGGGACUGAGACACGGCCCAAACUCCUACGGGAGGCAGCAGUAGGGAAUCUUCCGCAAUGGACGCAAGUCUGACGGAGCAACGCCGCGUGAGUGAAGAAGGUUUUCGGAUCGUAAAACUCUGUUGUUAGAGAAGAAUAAGUGCUAGAGUAACUGUUAGCGCCUUGACGGUAUCUAACCAGAAAGCCACGGCUAACUACGUG
rnacentral:rRNA from 1 species